rnacentral:rRNA from 1 species
CUUAAAUUGAAGAGUUUGAUCAUGGCUCAGAUUGAACGCUGGCGGCAGGCCUAACACAUGCAAGUCGAGCGGAAACGACACUAACAAUCC